rnacentral:rRNA from 1 species
GACGAACGCUGGCGGCGUGCUUAACACAUGCAAGUCGAACGGAAAGGCCCUGCUUUUGUGGGGUGCUCGAGUGGCGAAAGGGUGAGUAACACGUGAGUAACCUGCCCUUGACUUUGGGAUAACUUCAGGAAACUGGGGCUAAUACCGGAUAGGAGCUCCUGCUGCAUGGUGGGGGUUGGAAAGUUUCGGCGGGUGGGGAUGGACUCGCGGCUUAUCAGCUUGUUGGUGGGGUAGUGGCUUACCAAGGCUUUGACGGGUAGCCGGCCUGAGAGGGUGACCGGCGACAUUGGGACUGAGAUACGGCCCAGACUCCUACGGGGGGCAAUAGGGGGGAAUAUUGCACAAUGGGCGGAAGCCUGAUGCAGCAGCGCCGCGUGCGGGAAGACGGCCUUCGGGUUGUAAACCGCUUUCGCCUGUGACGAAGCGUGAGUGACGGUAAUGGGUAAAGAAGCACCGGCUAACUACGUG